GACGAACGCUGGCGGCGUGCUUAACACAUGCAAGUCGAACGGAAAGGCCCGGCUUUUGUGGGUUUCUCGAUUGGCGAACGGGGGAGUAACACGUGAGUAACCUGCCCUUAACUUUGGGAUAACUUCAGGAAACUGGGGCUAAUACCGGAUAGGAUCUCUUGCUGCAUGGUGGUGGUUGGAAAGUUUCGGCGGUUGGGGAUGGACUCGCGGCUUAUCAGCUGGUUGGUGGGGUAGGUGCUGACCAAGGGUUUGACGGGUAGCCUGCAUGAGAGGGUGACCGGGCACCAUGGGACUGCGAUAGGCACCAGAAGGCUACGGGCCGCAGUAGGGGGGAACAUUGCAGAACGGCGGCGAGUGUGAUGUAGAAACGUCGCGUGCGUGAUGCCCUGUUACGAGUGGUAAACAGAUGUCGAAUGUGCUGUAGAGGGCGUGACGGUAACGGGUCAGGAAGCCACGGCUAACUACGUG
rnacentral:rRNA from 1 species